UUGCACCUCCACCCCUUCCUCCUGCCCGCCCCCCGCGCUCGCUUGACAGCCGGGGCGGUGCAGCCUGCGCAGCCGGGUAGCCGCCGCCGCCGCCGCCGCCGCCGCCGCCACCACCGCCGCCGCGCCCGGGGAGGGGUCUCCUGGUCCCACGGGCCGCCCCCGAAGCCUCGCUACCAGCUCGUUCCGCCCGCCUUAGCGCCCGCGGGUCUAUGCCCUUUAAAAACAUCAUCUUGGGAAUUUCCUUAAGCUUUAAUCCAAGCCUCCUGUGCUUCCUGGCUACAGCAGCUCAUUCCUAGGAAGGGAGUGAGAGCCUUUGAAACUACAUGUGCUCUUCGAGGAAGAGUCACCUAGGAAGAGACCUUCAAUCAUCAUCCUCACUUUACAAAUGAGAAUUGAGACUCACAGCAGAACCAAGACCAUACCCCAACCCACAGAUCUCCAAAACUCAUGAGCAAAACCACCAUGUCCAUCAGGGGUCUUUGGGAAAUACAGAAAAGCAGCAAGAAGGGCAAAUCCAUCAUCCCAAGAAACUAGUUUUCAUGUUGGCACAUUUUUUCUGAUCUUAUUUCUAGCCAUACAAUUUUUGUUCCAUACUCUUUUUCACUUAUUGUUGUUAAGUUAUUAGAAAUUCUCCCAAAAUAUCAAUUUUCAUGAUCACAUACUGUUCCAGUGAGUGCAUAUACCUUGUUCUACUUAAUGCUGCAUCUAUUUGGACACUUGGGCUAUUUUCAAAUUUUUGCUAUUUUAAAUAAUACUUUUAUAAAUAUCUUUGUGAAUUAUUUCUUUAUAUUCAUUAAAAUGGAAAUACUAGGACAAAGAAAAUGUAUGUUUAAAGCCACAUUGCCAGAUUUCUUUUUCAAAAAGUUUGUACUAGGGCUACCUGGGUGGCUCAGUCUGUUAAGUGUCCAACUCUUAGUUUCAGCUCAGGUUAUGAUCUCAGGGUCCUGAAAUCGACCCCUACUUGGGCUCCACACUCAGCUCAGAGUCUGCUUGUUCCUCUCCCUCUGCUCCUCUCCCUGUUUUCUCUCUCUCUCUCUCUCUCCCUCAUAAAAAAUAAUAUCUUAAAAAAAAAAAGUUGCACUAAUAUAUUGGGCCUGUUUCAUCUCAUCCAUAUCAGAACUCAAUAUUAUAUUUUAGAAAUACAAAUUACCUAAUUCAGUAUGUGAAAAGUGGUAUUUUAAAAUUUGCAUUCCUUUGAUUGGAUUGUAUGUAAAAUUGAAAAUGUUUUCUGUGCUUGCUAAUCAGUUUUAUUUCACUGUUCUCACUAGUUUCCUAAGGUGGAAGCUUACCUUUUGAUUUUAGAUCUUUCUUCUUUUCUAACAUACACAUUUAAUGCUAUAAAUUUACUUCUAAGCAGACUGAUUUUGCUCUGUCCCACAAAUUUUGAUAAACUGUACUUUUAUUUUUCUUUAAUUCAAAAUAUUUUAAAUUUCUCUUGAGAUUUCUUCUUUGGCUCAUGGGUUAUUUAGAGGUAUAUUGUUUAAUUUCCAGAUAUUUGGAAGUUUUCUAGCUAACCUUUUGUUAUUUAUUUCUAGCUUAAUUCCAUUGUGGUACAAGAAUGUACUUUGUAUGAUUCCUGUUCUUUUAAAUUUGUUAAGAUAUAUUUUAUGACCCAGAUGUGGUCUAUCUUGCGUAUUCUGCUAUGGUUGGUUGGAGUAUUCUAUAAAUGUCAACUCAAUUAAACUGAUCUGUUCAAGUCAUCUAUAUUCUUACGUUUUCACCUUUUUCAAAUUAUAGUCAUUUUUAGCAACCAGUGAACAAGACAACAGAAAAGUAAAUAAAAAGCUAAAUUAUACUUAAAGCUUAUAUGGUAGGAAACAGAUUUCCAUAUACGCUUUUCAUGAAGUUUCUAGUUUUUGUCUAUUACCUCUUUCUAACAAUGAAAAGGAUGUAUGAGAGGAAAAGCUGGGUGAGGGAGUGAGCCAGAAACACAGAAGAAAAAGUCACGUCACUAGUCUGAGAUUUUUCCAUAUUGUGAAUGAUGCUCUCAUGCCUAUUGAAAAAAAAAAGCUUAUUGCCAAGGAUUUUACCUUUAAAAAAAAAAGAUUUUAUUUAUUCAUUUGAGAGAGAGAGAGUGCACAAGUGCAUGGGGAGGGGAAG